AUUGUUAAUUGUCACAUUACACCAUACUUUCUUUACCACCGAUUCACACCUACUAUCUCUCACCCACAUUGCUUCAAAUUGAAAUCUCUUCGGCUUAGUCCAUCGUGGGUUGGAAGCCGUUAAGUUAAUGAUCAAAGGUAAAUGGUUAGACCUGGAAACAACUAACAACAUGUUUGGUUGGGUGUAAUAGCAUAGCCAUUACAACCCAAUUUUGUGGGCCCACCACAAACCAUAGUUUGGUUCAAUGAAAUGCCUAUUAUGAGCCUAUUAUGUUAUGUUUUUAAGCAUGGAACAGGGGCAUUCCUAUUCCGUUUCAUCCCCACUGAAUAGUUGUUUCAUUUCCAUUUUACCCUCCCAUUUUUCUCACCUCAAAAAAGCUCUCACUCAGCCCGAUCUCAGUCCCGACCUCCCUUGCUUCCUUCGUCUCUGGCCAGUAGCAAUCCUCCCUCAAAAAACACAGCCUAGAGGAAGGGUUUGCAAAUGCUGGGAUUUUGACUCGUACCUGGUAGAUGCCACCAUUUAAAGGUAGUUCCAUAAACAAACACAUUUCUGUUGCUAAUGGUUUCAUUUCAUCACAUCAUAGUUAAUAUUUUAUAUGUUCUUCUCCCUUAUGAAGAGGGUGCACUUAAUCUGAAUGUUGAUUCAAAACGUUUAGAACCAACUGAAACCCUCAUAGCAGAGAGGAAAAAACAAGAUACAAAAAAAAAAUAGAUUUAUUAUGUUCUAUGUUGUGCAGGGGAUUACAUAAAGAGCUUCCAUAAUGUAAAGUUGACAUAAAAUAUUGAUUUCUGCUGACUGUUGGGUCUCAAAAAAUCCAUUAAAAGUUUGAACUCAAAUAGGAAAGUUGUAGAUUCUGAGUGAUGUAAUUAUUUCAUUAAUUAGAUUGGUUAUUCAUGGCUACCAUAUAA